CAGUAGCCGCGGGAAUACGAAGGUCCCGAGCGUUGUUCGGAAUCACUGGGCGUAAAGGGAGCGUAGGCGGCGUGGUAAGUCAGAUGUGAAAUCCCGGGGCUCAACCCCGGAACUGCAUCCGAUACUGCCGUGCUAGAGGAUUGGAGAGGUAGCUGGAAUUCUUGGUGUAGCAGUGAAAUGCGUGGAGAUCAAGAGGAACACUCGUGGCGAAAGCGAGCUACUGGACAAUAUCUGACGCUGAGGCUCGAAGGCCAGGGUAGCGAAAGGGAUUAGAUACCCCUGUAGUCCCUGUCUCUUAUAC
rnacentral:rRNA from 1 species